UACCUGCAGCUCGAGUGGUAACCGCUAUUAUUGGGCCUAAAGCGUCCGUAGCCGGUUUGGUAAAUAUCUGGGUAAAUCGUGAGGCUUAACUUCACGAAUUUCGGAUAGACUGCCAGACUUGGGAUCGGGGGAGGUCAGAGGUACUCCAGGGGUAGCGGUGAAAUGUUGUAAUCCUUGGAGGACCACCGGUAGCGAAGGCGUCUGACUAGAACGAGUCCGACGGUGAGGGACGAAGCCCUGGGGCGCAAACCGGAUUAGAUACCCGGGUAGUCCAGGGUGUAAACGAUGUGGGCUUUGUAUUGGAGGUCCCACGUGGGCGUCCAGUGCAGAAGAGAAGUUGUUAAGCCCACCGCCGUGGGAAGUACGGUCGCAAGGCUAGAAACUUAAAGGAAUUGGGCGGGGGAGCACAGCGAACGGGAGGAGCGUGCGGUUU
rnacentral:rRNA from 1 species